GAGCAGGGAAACACAGGGAGGGGACUGGGAGAAUAAAAUACUGGAGUUACAGAGAUGACAGAGGGGUCAGUUCUUGAAAACGGCAACUGAUAUGGUAUGCUUGGCUGAGGACCGUGUCAUUGGAGGAGAGGAGACCAAAAAACUCAAAGGCCAAGGCACCAAAAUAAGAAAAGAUGACACCCCACAGCACAAAAGCAGCCCAUCAAACAACCAAGACGCCGACAUGCUCAGCAGGACUACAGGAAAGCUGCCGUCUCGCCUGUCAGAUGUAACCUUUUCUUCUCUGUCCUGGGCUUUUCUGAAAAGGUUAUUCGCACCCGAGGGGAAUUCCAGAAACCUGUGUGAUCUUGGUAACACCGUUGUGCCUUCUAAACCUAAAGCCUCGCCACCACCACCUCCUGAGAGACCAAUAGAAGAGCCCC
ensembl:lncRNA